rnacentral:rRNA from 1 species
AACGAACGCUGGCGGCAGGCCUAACACAUGCAAGUCGAGCGAGGACUUCGGUCCUAGCGGCGGACGGGUGAGUAACGCGUGGGAACGUGCCCUUUGCUUCGGAAUAGCCCUGGGAAACUGGGAGUAAUACCGGAUGAGCCCUUUGGGGGAAAGAUUUAUCGGCGAAGGAUCGGCCCGCGUUGGAUUAGGUAGUUGGUGGGGUAAUGGCCUACCAAGCCGACGAUCGAUAGCUGGUUUGAGAGGAUGAUCAGCCACACUGGGACUGAGACACGGCCCAGACUCCUACGGGAGGCAGCAGUGGGGAAUCUUAGACAAUGGGGGAAACCCUGAUCUAGCCAUGCCGCGUGAGCGAUGAAGGCCUUAGGGUUGUAAAGCUCUUUCAGCUGGGAAGAUAAUGACGGUACCAGCAGAAGAAGCCCCGGCUAACUCCGUG